AGUUGGGCUCGUGUACAGUCUGUAUGGAUUUUAGUAUCUGCUAAGAAAUUAAGGUAAUUCCUCGAGUUGGAGGUAGAGGCUAUCAAUUCAUAUAAAAUAAUGAAAGAACUUUUAGACUAAAGUUCAUAUCUUUAGGCUUAAUUAAUUCAUAUAUUGAUUAGAUUUUGAUUUUCUUUUUAUACAGAUAUGGUCUCAAACUUGUCGCUUCGAUCACUAUUAGACAGUGAGAAGUUGACAGGAUCCAAUUUCGAUAGUUGG
rnacentral:lncRNA from 1 species